UACGUAGGGGGCAAGCGUUGUCCGGAAUCAUUGGGCGUAAAGCGCGUGUAGGCGGCCCGAUAAGUCCGCUGUGAAAGUCCAGGGCUCAACCCUGGGAUGCCGGUGGAUACUGUCGGGCUCGAGUCCGGAAGAGGCGAGUGGAAUUCCUGGUGUAGCGGUGAAAUGCGCAGAUAUCAGGAGGAACACCAAUGGCGAAGGCAGCUCGCUGGGACGGUACUGACGCUGAGACGCGAAAGCGUGGGGAGCAAACAGG
rnacentral:rRNA from 1 species